UCCCCAAAUCCCUUGGAGCAUUUUACUUUUAAGGUGAUGUGAUGGAUAAUCCGAUCAUUUAUAUAUAUACUAAUUCUAAACUAUAUGAUGAACAGUAUUUUGUUGUGAUUGGACCCCUUCCAAUUUUUUUUUUCUUUUUUUUAAUCGGUGUCUGUAACACCUGUUGUGUUACGUGGUGUUUACUUGCUUCCCCCACCGCCGUUCUGUCCAAGGUGUUACUUCUCGUAGCUUUCCCACCGCUUCAUUAUCCUCCAAAUAUCAUGGUUUCCCGAUUUCAGUUGAUAAUUUCAAUCGGUGAAGUUAAUCAAUUUUUUUUUGUUCGGGGUUAGCUUCAUCGACUGCACACAAUCAUGUUCCUUCGUCUCCUUCAACUACAUCGGUACAGAAAACCCUGCGUCACCGGAAACGCCAAAUUCCGUCUUCCUCUUAUGUUCUACAUCUCCUUUGCCACAACACAACGUUCCCAUCGACCACUCUCUCACCGUCAUUGCGCUAUAAUCGGUAGACCUCAAAGCUAACCUCAAGAUUAGGGCUUUGUGCUCCUUAAUCCUCUAUCUAACUCUUUCCAUUACGAUUGAAAGUAACGAUUACCAUUUCCUUCCUUUGAUGAUUUCCGAUUUUGAUGGUUCCUUACUCAUUUGUCACUCUUUUAUUCCUCUUCAAGCACUAGACUCUUCUCUUCAUUCUCAGGCUACCAAAGCUGCCGGAAGACUCGACAUCAAGAUGAGGUCGCCAUUUACAAAUCUAAAGGCGCCCUGAUAUGUUUACAACAUUCAUCGAUUGAAGGAAGGGGUUUUCAUCUUAAUUUUGGUUCAUCACUUUUGAUCGAUUAUUUAGUAAAUACAGGGUACAUCCCAAGUUUGGACUGAGAAAAUGGGAUCAAACGGGCGUCGUGGCGAGCCCCAACUACCAAAACCAGAUGGCUUGGCAAGACAAGGUUCAUCGUAUAACCUAACUUUAUAUGAAGCUCAACAGCAAUUAGGAGAUCUUGGAAAACCCUUACGUAGUAUGAAUCUUGAUGAACUUCUGGCUCCAAUACUCAUCGAGAAAGAAAACGGAGGUGGGUUCCUUCGAUUGUUGACUGCUAAAAAAGAAACACGAAGGAAAUAGGUGGUAAUGGCGUUUCUAUAGCAUCGUCCUUAAUAUUUUUUGCUUUGUUGGGUUUCCUCAGUUCAAGUGUCUUUGUGGCCUUCUAAAAAUAACAUCACUCUACAUCAUUCAUUCAUGGUUUUUUCGCUGGACAUGAAGGCGAAUCAAGGAAUUGGAGAUGGAAGGCAAUCGCAUCAGCCCAUUCCUCGAUUUUACAUCUUCCGGUUUUAUUUCAUGCCCUAAUUGUGUCUCUAUUAGCAGGUUCAUGGAAAACUUCCCACAAUCAGACGAGAUUUUAGAGUAGGUUCAUGGAAAGAUUCCCACAAUCACUCCAUCUUUCAACCCAACACCUACUCAGAUUCCUCUAGUAACCACCAUAGCCACCAUCUAUUUCUUCAUGUAUAUUCCCUAAUGUCUCUAAUCUUAGUUCCCUUCCCCACGAUAAUCUUCCCAGAGGUUUGGUGGUGGAAGGUGGAGGUGAAAUAUCCAGUUUUUAUGACAAGGAAGAAGCAAUUUUGGGUAUUGCUUUGAUUUUGAUUUUGGUUCCCAGUUUUAUUGAAAGGUUCCUGAUUUUCUUCUUUUUUCCUUCUGAUUUUGCAUGUAAAAGAUCUAUGACGAUUUAUAUAAGAUCUAUAAUAUUGUUUUUUUUAUUUUUUAUUUUUUUAUUUUAUUUUUUCUGUUCAUAACAUGAAGCUCGGUCCAAAUGGGGGGUUUAUGGUUGUCUGUGGUGACAACGUUCCAUUUGUUGGUUCUACGGAAGCCACUUGAAUUACCUCUAAGAGCCAUUUUUGUUUUUUUGACAAUGAAGCUCUUCAUCCAGGAUUUACCACAGAUCUUGGCUCAUUGAUUGAAGGUACGGGUUGUUGUAAUUAAUACAGGUUUUGCUAUGUUGAAUUUAUUAGUUCAGAAAUCUCAAGGAAGAGAUGAUGGUGAAAUUAUCCAAGUUUAAAGCCUGAACAAUCAACUUAAAGGAAAAAGUUACUGAUGUUAGUGGCUAGAUUGAUCUAUCCAUGAUACCAAGAAAUUACUUAAAACACUUGUCAGCUUUAACACCAAAAAAAAAGUGAGAUUGUGUUUCUAGUGGUAGGUCGGCUGAAAAAGAUGUAGAUCCAGCACAAUUCUCAAGAGAAUUUAUGAGAAAAGCUUCAUCUUUAGUUGAGGAUGAGGAGGUAUCAUCAUUUUAUUAUGAUAUUAUUAGUCGUACAAAUUAUAUGCUUCUUUUCUUUUUAUGAUUUCUUAAUAUCUAAUAUACACAACCGUUACUUUCACCUUGUAAUUUGCACUGUUUAACCCAAUUAAUUUGAUUCAUUUUCAUCUUCAUUUGAUGGAAAAUAUUAUUUCACUUGGAAAUGUUGAAGUUAAAUCUGAAGGAUCAAGACUCAAAUUACUUCUCACUUCAGUUUGAUGUUCUCUGUUUUGGGCUAUUUUAUAUGCUAAAUUGCCAAAAUAAUGUGGUGAUCAUAUCAUGGAAUUGUUUGAUAAGAACAUAUGCAUAAAAUUUUAAAUAGAAUAUAAAAAAGGUAAUUUUGCAUAUCAUUAUAUUGCUACUACCAUUUGUUGAAAUUUUGGCCCUGGAACAAUACACAUAAAUAUAAGUUAUAAUUUUAGGUAAAAAAAAGUGACAGAUUAAGACGUAACUCUCUUCCGCAUAGCAAGGAGAGUAUGUUGGAAAGGUGUCAAAUUUUUGUUACGUACUUAUACUUUUACGAAGCUGAUGAUAUUACACCAAGUUAGUGAAGUCUAUAUCAACAAAAGAGUGUUGAAGUGGAGUUAAGAAGCAAUCCAGACCAUCGACAUGUUUGAUCUUAUUUGCUCCUAUGGUCGUAUUAUUGCUCUUAUGCAUCAUUUCAAUUAGGUUAUACAAUAUUCUUCAUUGGAAUACUCACAUUUAUAAGGCAUUAUCUCCGAUUCACAUGUAUAGAUACCUUAAAAACAAACCCAAACCGGAUGUUGGAAUUUUUUUUAACGGGGCAUCUUAUUAUGCAUCACAGGGUCGGAAGCUAUGUUUGCUGAUCUUGGACACUUUUCUCAGUUGCCUAUCCAGGGACUUUUUCGAUUGUAAAACAAUGUUGUUGGGUGAUUGUUAAACCUUAUUUCAAAAUUGGAGAUGAACAACUAGAAUGUGAAACUAAAGCUGGCCCACCAGAGCUUUUGUGCUGGGAACUUAAAUGAAAGCAUUGGAUGUGCUCAACACAUUGGGAUUAUCUACAAGAUAUAACAUUGCACUUUUAUUUGAUUUUACUUGACCAUUUUCAUAUGUAUGUAUUUUUAGAAAUACCUGGUAUUAUAUGUAAAGCAUUGUAAAGUUUGUUGCUAUUUUUUGUUUCUUAAUAAAUAACUAUAAAAUACCUUCCAACC